CCCGGGAUAGUCUACUAGUGUUUGUGAAAGAACUUGAAGGUGACAAGAUACCGUUUGGUCAUUCUGCUCGAGACGUGGAGGUGUAUGCCUGACUUCAUUCAAUCGUAACAGCUGUACCACGCAGUCAGACAGUCCACCAUGGGUACAGGCGUGACAACAAUUUUUGCCUGCCUUCGAUUCCCGAUCGAUAAUGCGGUUGGCAUUAAACGGAAUAAUAGUGUGGUCAACAGGGUGUAAACCCCGUUCUCCAAUUCCCGCGUGCAACAGACACGGUGGCUGCUUAAAAGGAUGUUCUUUUGCAUGAGUGCUUUUUUUUAAAAUACCGAAAGUUCCUUCUGGCUGAUUUUGUGGUUUUUGAGAUGGCCACGUCUAACUGCUUCCUAAACACGGGGCUGGUGUGGGUGCCAUGUGCUUUCUUGUGGUGCCCUCUGCCCUUCUACCUGGUGGUGCUGGCCAGGAAAGGGGAAGUCACUCCACUUCAUAUCACCUGGUUGAACUCGGCCAAGACGUUUUUCAGCUUGACACUGAGCAUGGUGGCGCUGUUGUCAUUGGUACAAGACUUCAAACUGUCGACAGACAGAGGCAGUGACGUGCUUCCGGUGGUCAUCUACCUGUCCAGCGCCCUGCGGCUGGUGUCGUA
rnacentral:lncRNA from 1 species